rnacentral:rRNA from 1 species
GUGGGGAAUAUUGGGCAAUGGGCGAAAGCCUGACCCAGCAACGCCGCGUGAAGGAAGAAGGUUUUCGGAUCGUAAACUUCUAUCCUUGGUGAAGAUAAUGACGGUAGCCAAGAAGGAAGCCCCGGCUAACUACGUGCCAGCAGCCGCGGUAAUACGUAGGGGGGAAGCGUUGUCCGGAAUGAUUGGGCGUAAAGGGCGCGUAGGCGGCCUGGUAAGUCUGGAGUGAAAGUCCUGCUUUUAAGGUGGGAAUUGCUUUGGAUACUGUCGGGCUUGAGUGCAGGAGAGGUAAGUGGAAUUCCCGGUGUAGCGGUGAAAUGCGUAGAGAUCGGGAGGAACACCAGUGGCGAAGGCGACUUACUGGACUGUAACUGACGCUGAGGCGCGAAAGUGUGGGGAGCAAACAGGAUUAGAUACCCCGGUAGUCC